rnacentral:tRNA from 2 species
GGGGCGGAUGUAGCCAAGUGGAUCAAGGCAGUGGAUUUGUGA